AACGAACGCUGGCGGCAGGCUUAACACAUGCAAGUCGAACGCCCCGCAAGGGGAGUGGCGCACGGGUGAGUAACGCGUGGGAAUAUGCCCUUCGGUUCGGAAUAACACAGGGAAACUUGUGCUAAUACCGGAUACGAUCUACGGAUGAAAGAUUUAUCGCCGAGGGAGUAGCCCGCGUAGGAUUAGCUAGUUGGUGAGGUAAUGGCGCACCAAGGCGACGAUCCUUAGCUGGUCUGAGAGGAUGAUCAGCCACACGGGGACUGAGACACGGCCCAGACUCCUACGGGAGGCAGCAGUGGGGAAUAUUGGACAAUGGGCGAAAGCCUGAUCCAGCCAUGCCGCGUGAGUGAUGAAGGCCUUAGGGUUGUAAAGCUCUUUCGCCAGGGAAGAUAAUGGCGGUACCUGGAAAAGAAGCCUCGGCUAACUCCGUGCCAGCAGCCGCCGUAAGAC
rnacentral:rRNA from 1 species